GACUAGGACUCAAGUAUUUCG
rnacentral:miRNA from 1 species